rnacentral:rRNA from 1 species
GAGUUUGAUCAUGGCUCAGGAUGAACGCUACCGGGAGGCUUAAUACAUGCAAGUCGAGGGGUAACAUGAGUGCUUGCACUUGAUGACGACCGGCGCACGGGUGAGUAACGCGUACACGAUCUACCUUUAAGAGGGGGAUAGCCCUGGGAAACUAGGAUUAAUACCCCAUGUGAUUAUAGAGCUACAUGGUUUUAUAAUUAAAGCUUCGGUGCUUAAAGAUGAGUGUGCGUACUAUUAGCUAGUUGGUAAGGUAACGGCUUACCAAGGCUACGAUAGUUAGGGGGCGUGAGAGCGUGAUCCCCCACACGGGUACUGAGACACGGACCCGACUCCUUUUGGAGGCAGCAGUAAGGAAUAUUGGAUAAUGGGCAGCAAGCCUGAUCCAGCCAUCCCGCGUGCAGGAUGACUGUCCUAUGGGUUGUAAACUGCUUUUACA